rnacentral:rRNA from 1 species
AUUGAACGCUGGCGGCAGGCCUAACACCUGCAAGUCGAACGAGUGGCGGACGGGUGAGUAAUGUCUGGGAAACUGCCUGAUGGAGGGGGAUCACUACUGGAAACGGUAGCUAAUACCGCAUACCAUCGGAUGUGCCCAGAUGGGAUUAGCUAGUAGGUGGGGUAAAGGCUCACCUAGGCGACGAUCCCUAGCUGGUCUGAGAGGAUGACCAGCCACACUGGAACUGAGACACGGUCCAGACUCCUACGGGAGGCAGCAGUGGGGAAUAUUGCACAAGGGGCGCAAGCCUGAUGCAGCCAGGCCGCGUGUGUGAAGAAGGCCUUCGGGUUGUAAAGUACUUUCAGCGAGGAGGCGUUACCCGCAGAAGAAGCACCGGCUAACUCCGUGCCAGCAGCCGCGGUAAUUC